rnacentral:rRNA from 1 species
GAUGAACGCUGGCGGCGUGCCUAAUACAUGCAAGUCGAGCGAAUGGAUUAAGAGCUUGCUCUUAUGAAGUUAGCGGCGGACGGGUGAGUAACACGUGGGUAACCUGCCCAUAAGACUGGGAUAACUCCGGGAAACCGGGGCGAAUACCGGAUAACAUUUUGAACCGCAUGGUUCGAAAUUGAAAGGCGGCUUCGGCCGUCACUUAUGGAUGGACCUGCGUCGCAUUAGCUAGUUGGUGAGGUAACGGCUCACCAAGGCAACGAUGCGUAGCCGACCUGAGAGGGUGAUCGGCCACACUGGGACUGAGACACGGCCCAGACUCCUACGGGAGGCAGCAGUAGGGAAUCUUCCGCAAUGGACGAAAGUCUGACGGAGCAACGCCGCGUGAGUGAUGAAGGCUUUCGGGUCGUAAAACUCUGUUGUUAGGGAAGGACAAGUGCUAGUUGAAUAAGCUGGCACCUUGACGGUACCUAACCAGAAAGCCACGGCUAACUACGUGCCAGCCGCCGCGGUAA